rnacentral:lncRNA from 1 species
CUGUGAAAUCCAAACGUUUGGUGAGGUUUUAAUAGUCCAAGGAGUAUUACAGACUAAACAUGAAGUGCGCUGUGGCAAUAGUGCUCGCUCUCAUCGGCAUGUCACUCGCUCAUCCAACGCCAUCUUUGGGUGGAAUAGUAAUCUCCUCUACUGCUACCCGGUAUAGCGGCUAGAUCCAACGUGGUCAACCACGGCUACACCAUACCCAUGCCUCAUA